AUCAACCGUAGACCUUGAUGAUAAAAAAUGGCAUCACCAGCCCACCAACAUCAACCAAAUGGCAUCACCAGCCAACCAACAAACCGCAUCACCAGAAAUCAAAGAACAAAGGGAAAAGUAGUUAGAUAUCACCUUAUUAGCUCAAAUCUAGCAGCGUAGGAAAAUAAAUUCCUAGGAUUUGAAGACGGCGACGGUGCGCACAGGGUUCAUACUCCAUUCUCACGAACGGCGACGGCUCUUCAUCAGGGAUGUGGCCACUGGUAGCCACCCAUACAUCAUAACCAUUGUCUGGCAUCGUAGACUCCGAAAGGCCCACAUACUUCGUGUACUUUUCGACUUCAUACUGUGAAAAGUCAUAGAAAUCAGCUUCGUGAACAAAUCCAGACGCUGGAGCCAUCAAUAGAGGAGUGUGAGUCACCGGGACCUUCAAUCAUCUAGAUUCAGCCACAGAAACCAAUUGGUCAACAUAUCAAGUCAACCGCUUUUCAACAAAUCCAGUCGAUGGCACCAUGGAUUUGGUUUCUGCCACCAUGGAUUUGAUUCCGGCGCCACCCACCCCAGGAACGCCACAUACGACAUGGCAACUGCUUCCAUGGAGGGGAGGCCAGAUCCACCCUCGAUUUCCACCGAUUCGUACUCCCAAUCCCUUGAAUAAAUGGGAGUAGACGUAGGAGCAUCAUCCAUCGGCAGAUAAGGGUUGGGCGAAGAAGAAGAUCGAAGAUUUCAGAAUUGGCAGAGAAGGGAUUGAGAAUUUAGUGUUUUCGGCAAAGAAAUUUUUAUUUCCUCUUUAGGGGAAUUGUGAUAUGAAUAGGUGGU
rnacentral:lncRNA from 1 species